CCUACGGGAGGCAGCAGUGGGGAAUAUUGGGCAAUGGAGGCAACUCUUACCCAGCAAUGCCGCGUGAAUGAAGACGGUCUUCGGAUUGUAAAGUCCUUUAAUUGGGGACGAAAAAAAUGACGGUACCCAAGGAAUAAGCCUCGGCUAACUACGUGCCAGCAGCCCCGGGAAUACGUAGGGGGCAAGCGUGUUUCGGAAUGACAGGGGGUAAGGGGUGUGUGGGCGUGGUAGCAAGUUAGAAGUGAAAUACCUAGGGCUUAACUCAGGUGCUGCUUCUAAAACUGCUGUACUUGAGUGCAGUAGAGGUAAGUGGAAUUACUAGUGUAGCGGUGGAAUGCAUAGAUAUUA
rnacentral:rRNA from 1 species